rnacentral:lncRNA from 1 species
GUAUCCUAAGCAUAUAUGGUGGCAAACUUACGAAGAACAGUAAUAUGACAUGGUGGUCUACGUAAGAUGGUCAAGUUCUAGAAUGAUCACUAAGUGUUCCUGAACACCCACUUAUGUCAUUCAUAACCCCACCGUGUUCUCGACCAGAGAAGGAGCUCUCAAAGAAACAAUCACGGUUACACACAAAGUUGGCAAGUUUUAUUUAAGUUACUUUCAGUUAUCUAGAACUGGAUGUUAACAAAAUAUCCAUGUUUGCCACAUAACCGCGGGCACGGCUUUCCGAAAGAUUUAACCC